ACCCGCUGAACUUAAGCAUAUCAAUAAGCGGAGGAAAAGAAACCAACAGGGAUUGCCCUAGUAACGGCGAGUGAAGCGGCAACAGCUCAAAUUUGAAAUCUGGCGUCUUUGGCGUCCGAGUUGUAAUUUGCAGAGGGCGCUUUGGCAUUGGCAGCGGUCCAAGUUCCUUGGAACAGGACGUCACAGAGGGUGAGAAUCCCGUACGUGGUCGCUAGCCUUUACCGUGUAAAGCCCCUUCGACGAGUCGAGUUGUUUGGGAAUGCAGCUCUAAAUGGGAGGUAAAUCUCUUCUAAAGCUAAAUACUGGCCAGAGACCGAUAGCGCACAAGUAGAGUGAUCGAAAGAUGAAAAGCACUUUGGAAAGAGAGUUAAAAAGCACGUGAAAUUGUUGAAAGGGAAGCGCUUGCAGCCAGACUUGCCUGUAGUUGCUCAUCCGGGUUUCUACCCGGUGCACUCUUCUAUAGGCAGGCCAGCAUCAGUUUGGGCGGUUGGAUAAAGGUCUCUGUCAUGUACCUCUCUUCGGGGAGAACUUAUAGGGGAGACGACAUGCAACCAGCCUGGACUGAGGUCCGCGCAUCUGCUAGGAUGCUGGCGUAAUGGCUGU
rnacentral:rRNA from 1 species